GAUCUUUUCCAUUGUUACCAGUGC
rnacentral:siRNA from 1 species